CUCAGAUUCAAUUAUUCUCUUACUAGGAAUUUAUUUUUGAAACAAGGCAGAGAAGAGAGUGCUGUGUUGUAUUAUUUCCAAAAUUGCAAUGAGAAAUGAUGGCUCCCUUUCACGGCAUUGCAAAGAGAAUUCCAGCCGCACUCAACCUCCAGUAGCAUAAGCAGCAUCCCUUUUGGAAACAAAGCCUGAAGGAAGGAGAUUUCCGAGACUGACGGUGUGGAAGUUGCUAGAGCCAGGAGAAAAGCAAGCUGGUUCUGAAGCCCCAGCCCCAAGAGAGUGAGGGAAACUGGACCUGAGAAGUUAGGCCACGGGCUGAUAGCAGCCAAAGCUGGACACUGAACUCUCCUCGGACUUGUCGAUUGAUAUCCGGGAUGUUUGCGGUACACUGGGAGACGCCGAUUUGUCAGGAGAGAAUGUCCCCGUGUCCUCGCACCUCACAGAUAGUCACGCUAUUUACCACAACUUCGAGGCCAAACUCUUUCCAGAUACGACACUAAGAAUAACUUGGUUAUUCUCCAGCCGACAUCCUGCCUUUGUUUUG